rnacentral:rRNA from 1 species
UACGUAGGGUGCGAGCGUUAAUCGGAAUUACUGGGCGUAAAGCGUGCGCAGGCGGUCUGUUAAGACAGAUGUGAAAUCCCCGGGCUUAACCUGGGAACUGCAUUUGUGACUGGCAGGCUAGAGUAUGGCAGAGGGGGGUAGAAUUCCACGUGUAGCAGUGAAAUGCGUAGAGAUGUGGAGGAAUACCGAUGGCGAAGGCAGCCCCCUGGGCCAAUACUGACGCUCAUGCACGAAAGCGUGGGGAGCAAACGGG